GAUGAACGCUGGCGGCGUGCUUAACACAUGCAAGUCGAACGAAGCACUUUAUUUGAUUUCCUUCGGGACUGAUUAUUUUGUGACUGAGUGGCGGACGGGUGAGUAACGCGUGGGUAACCUGCCUUGUACAGGGGGAUAACAGUUGGAAACGGCUGCUAAUACCGCAUAAGCGCACGGCAUCACAUGAUGCAGUGUGAAAAACUCCGGUGGUAUAAGAUGGACCCGCGUUGGAUUGGCUAGUUGGUGAGGUAACGGCCCACCAAGGCGACGAUCCAUAGCCGACCUGAGAGGGUGACCGGCCACAUUGGGACUGAGACACGGCCCAAACUCCUACGGGAGGCAGCAGUGGGGAAUAUUGCACAAUGGGGGAAACCCUGAUGCAGCGACGCCGCGUGAGUGAAGAAGUAUUUCGGUAUGUAAAGCUCUAUCAGCAGGGAAGAAAGUGACGGUACCUGAAUAAGAAGCCCCGGCUAACUACGUGCCAGCAGCCGC
rnacentral:rRNA from 1 species